CCCCCCCCCCCCCCCAUGCCACCGCCUCCAGCGCCAUAGUCGAUUCCAUCGUCAUAGCCACCACCUCCCCUCAAACCAUGGAGUGGAGUGGUGGCGAGAAAGAGAGCAUGGGAUUGAGAAAAUAAAUCAAGCGAGAGAGAUAGAGAGAGCCAGAUAGAGAUAGAGAUAGAGAUAGAGAUAGAGAAGAAUAAAGAGGAAAAGUAGACUUGAUCAGAGAGAAACGUAAAUAUGUGGAUAUUUAUACCCAAUGGUUGUCUAUUUUCUUGCAUGCAGGCUGAAAAGUCACCUUGACAGUUUUAUCUCCCCUUUCCAAAUGGCUUUCGUUUUCGGAAGAAAUAUCCAU
rnacentral:lncRNA from 1 species